rnacentral:rRNA from 1 species
UAAUACGGAGGAUGCGAGCGUUAUCCGGAUUCAUUGGGUUUAAAGGGUGCGUAGGCGGACUAUUAAGUCAGUGGUGAAAUCCUGCAGCUUAACUGCAGAACUGCCAUUGAUACUGAUAGCCUUGAGUUUGGUUAAGGUAGGCGGAAUGUGUAAUGUAGCGGUGAAAUGCUUAGAUAUUACACAGAACACCAAUUGCGUAGGCAGCUUACUGAGCCGACACUGACGCUGAGGCACGAAAGCGUGGGGAUCGAACAGGAUUAGAUACCCUGGUAGUCCACGCCGUAAACGAUGAUUACUCGCUGUUGGCGAUACACUGUCAGCGGCUAAGCAAAAGCAAUAAGUAAUCCACCUGGGGAGUACGGCCGCAAGGUUGAAACUUAAAGGAAUUGACGG